UACGUAGGGUCCGAGCGUUGUCCGGAAUUACUGGGCGUAAAGAGCUCGUAGGUGGUUUGUCGCGUUGUUCGUGAAAACUCACAGCUCAACUGUGGGCGUGCGGGCGAUACGGGCAGACUUGAGUACUGCAGGGGAGACUGGAAUUCCUGGUGUAGCGGUGGAAUGCGCAGAUAUCGAGAGGAACACCGGUGGCGAAGGCGGCUAUCUGGACAGUGACUGACGCUGAGACGCGAAAGCGUGGGGAGCAAACAGG
rnacentral:rRNA from 1 species